rnacentral:lncRNA from 1 species
GGAAGAGACUGAUGCCCUGCAAUGCCUCAGGACUCUCCAGAAUGUUUUCACCAGCAAAAAGGCCCUCAGCAGAUGCAGCCUCUCGACCUUGAACUUUCUAGCCUCCAAAAUGAGACAUCAUUCUGGCUGCAUUAUGAAUGGAUGGUUUGGAGGAAGAAUGUGGAUAGCUAAACAAGAAGGAGAAUAGAAAGAAACUACUCUUAAGACUAUUGCAAUAUCCAGUGUUAUCUCAGGACCAAGGAAUUAAUGGUGCAAUGUGCUUUGUUUCUGACUGCAGACUAUAAUGUUUAUUCCUAUUGGGGGCAGAGCAAGAUUUCAGUUUCUUUUCUCAGCAACAAGAAAAUACUCUGUCUGAAAUCAAGCAACUUCUGGGAAGACCAAGAGUGAUGGAAACUAGAGUUACAAAGCAAAAACCCUACAUCCUGAAUGCCCAGCCCGGUCAAUGAAAUUUUUCUGUCUCAUUUAUCAGCUAACUUGGUCCUCUUCCCCUGGGAACAAAACUGAGAAGGGUUAAGAGAUAAUGUGGAAACAAACUCCCCAGCACUUGCCUAAGAGGGCAGCUGUGUACCCAGACCUUCUUUCCUCUAUGUCAUUGUACUAGAAAGAGAGAGUUCCAUACUCUUUAAUCUGAAUAGUUGGCACUCACUUAAAAAAGAAUGCAGCCUGAUUCCUCUCUGCCCCUCUAGCUAUUUCCAGAAAGUUGUUCAUGGGAUGAAUUGGUAAGUAAAGAAUUCAGACACUGGUUCUGAUUAAGGGAUCUUAUAAAUGAUUUAUAACCUUUGGGAACAUCAAAGACAGCACUCAUAAGCCAGGCAAGCUAAGGGGUGCUCAGGAGUAAAAUGCACCUCCCCAUCUCACAAAUCCAUUGUUUUGAUGAAAGGAUAAGAGGCAGUUGGCCUGGGAAGGUGAAAAGGCAGGAAAAGAGUGGGAAGUCAGCUCCUAGGAUAAUAACCACAUCCACAGGCAUUGUCUCCUUUCACAUAUUUACAGCUUUUCUUUCUUAUCUUUCCACACCUCUAUAUUCAGUUAUGUAUGACCUACUAGCAAUUUACAGCUGCUUUAAAUGCAUACAUUUCAGGUAGGGUGUGUUGACUUAUGCCUGUAAUCCCAGC